CGGCAGUGCACGCCGCCGACUGCCGGCGGUGCGCACAAGUUCAGUGCUCAACUUCCCGCUCUUAACGAGACCCGGGAUCCCUUUGGAGAGGCCCUCGGGAGCUGGCGGCGGGGCUGGGAGUGGCGUGGCCCCAGAUGGCCCAUCGAGUUGAAGGAAAACAAGCUUGGGGCUCUCCCUGAUUCUGCAUCAUGAGAAGGGAGAGCAAGAGAGGAGAAUGAAGACACGAGGACAGCAAGGGAAGAGUUCCAGGAGCCCUCACCGUGUCGCUGAUCGUCACAGAGUUGUCACGCUUAUCUCUGCAACUAGAUGAGACAAACACCACGUGGGGUGGGGGUUGUACCGGAAGUCCUCAGAGAUCCUUGCAUGGGGGCUGGGGGUGGCACAGAAUAGCUGCCCUACCUGGGAACGGAGCUGGGAACUGGGAACUGUGCGCUGUGCCGUGAGCAGGAGAGUCAGAUGGGGAACCUGCCCCCCUCCUGCCCACAGCCAAUGGUCUGUUUCUCUCUCUCAUACACACACUCCCUAGGCUGCCUCCCUUACACCCACACCUGCAUCCAGGCAUGAUAAUCUAUUUCUCUGUCUCACACACAUGGAGGAAGCAUUAUUUUCUCCAUGUGUGUCAGGUUCUUGCAGCCAAAUACUCUACAAAAAUAUUAUAAAAAUAUUUUGCAUCUUAUAAAUAUCAAUAAUUUAGGUCGUUAAGAGGGGUCAUUAAUUUAGUUAAGAGAGGUCCUUGAUGUUACUCACAGAGCUCUGCCCAGGGCAAGAGCCCCUUCUAUCCUCCUGGCAAGUGGGUAAAGAGCCGCUGGACAGACCUUCAGAUAUCUGAGGAUGGUCACUAUGUUUCCCCAAAUCUUGCCUUCUAAUACUCCUUGUUCUAAUAACUCUCUCUCCAAAAACUUCUGAUACAGACUCAACAUCCUCCCACCUCUGAGUUGCCUUUCUCUGGACAAACCCAGGUUUGGUAGCACCCCUGCUUUGUAUAUGAGACAGGGUCUCACUCUGUAGCCUAGGCUAGAGUGCAAUGGCACAAUCAUAGCUCAUUGCAACCUCCCAGACUCAAGCUAUCCUUUUGCCUCAGCCUCCCAAGUAGCUAGGACCACAGGCAUGCACCACCAUGCCCACCUAAUUUUAAAAAUUUCUUAUAGAGAUGGAGUCUCACUGUGUUGCCCAGGCUGGUCUUCAACUCCUGGCCUCAAGUGAUCCUCCUGCCCUGGGCCUCCCAAAGUGCUGGGUUACAGAUGUGAGCCACUGCUUCUAGCCCAAGCAAUGCCCAUUCCAAGUACUAAGUGGAUUACCCACUGUUCUUCUCCCAGACACUGUGCCCUGCUGACAGAGUUUCACUUUAUCGUCCUCGGUAGAGUACUCUGGUGUCACAGCUCACAGCAACCUCUACGCCCUGGGCUCAGGUGAUUCUCUUGCCUCAGUGUCCUGAGUAGCUGGGACUACAGGUGUCCGCCACAAUGCCCGGCUAUUUUUUUGUUGCAGUUUGGCUGGGGCCGGGUUUGAACCUACUACCCUCGGUAUGUGGGGCUGGUGCCCUACUCACUGAGCCACAGGUGCCGCUCUACAAAGAUUUAAUAGAAAAAUAUUGAGAUUUUAAAAACUUAAAAGCAGUUAAUAAAGAAGAGGACAAAUCACAAAUAUCAAGUAAAAAAAUAUUUGUAAUAUUAAAAAUGUAUUUCUCAUUUACAGUUAAGAAGCUGUAUAAUACAGCAUUUUUUUUUAUUAUUUGGAGACACAGUCUCACUUUGUCACCCUUAGUAGAGUGCCGUAGUGUCACAGCUCACAGCAACCACAAAUAUUUGGACUUAAAAGCAAUUCACUUGCCUCAACCUCCCAAGUAGCUGGGACUACAGGUGCCUACCACUGCACCUGGCUAUUUUUAGAGACGAGGUCUGGCUCUGGCUGGUCUUGAAUUUGUGAGCUCAGGCGAUCCACCUGUCUCAGCCUCCCAGAGUGCUGGAAUUAGAGGUGUGAGCCACCAUGCCUGUCCAACACAGCUUUUUGUUUUUUUUGCAGUUUUGGCCGGGACUGGGCUUGAACCCACCACCCCCAGUGUAUGGGGCCAGCACCCUACUCCUUGAGCCACAGGCACCAACGCAAUACAGCUUUUUUGAUAGCAAUUUUGUCUGUGCUCUUCCUGAGGAUGUUUCGUUUACUUGAUUUGCUGGGUUUGUGUGGGACUUGGACAUGGGUUUUUAUUUAUUUAUUUAUUCAGACAGAGUCUCAGAACUUCUGAGCUCAAGCAAUCUACCCUCCUCAGCCUCCCGGAGUCCUAGGAUUACAGGUGUGAGCCACCUCACUUAGCCAGACAUGGGCAUUUUUAAAGGCUCCCUUUGUGACACUGACAGACUCCUGAUGGAACUCGCCCCCCGCCCCACAAGCGCACGUGUGAAUGCUUUGCCUGUUGCACAAGCAGCGCCAGUUGUGCAGGGGAUAAAAGGCUUGCUUGGGAAGAGCAGCACAGUUCACACCCUCGAACACAUGCCAUAAAUCCUCAAAUAGCAUUUUUCACAUCACAUACACUUUCACAAGUCAGAUCUGUUUCAUUAUGUGACAUUUCUAUUUGUGACACUAUUGUUGAAUAUUGUUGCUAAAGCCACUUGCCAUUGUGAUUAAUUCUGCUUUGGGUUGGCGACUGACUUAAACCUGUGAGUGGAAGGGGAAGGGAAGACUCCCCAGAGAGCCGAGCAGGAAGAGAAUGGUACACAUCAAUGUGGGAGGCCCCGGAGGCCACCCGCUUCAUUUUACAGCUAAGCAAAUCAAGGACUGCAGAAAUAAAAGAAUCUCCCCAGCACCACCAUCAUGAAAGAAUUUAAUUAUGUAAAUUAAUCAUUUAAAUGACUAUAAAAAGAAUAUAUACUCUUUACAGAAAACAAUUUAAAAACAGGGAUGGCGCCUGUGGCUCAGUGAGUAGGGCACUGGCCCCAUAUACUGAAGGUGGGGGGUUUGAACCCAGCCCCAGCCAAAACUGCAGCAAAAAAAUAGCUGGGCAUUGUGGCAGGCGCUUGGAGUCCCAGCUACUCAGGAGGCUGAGGCAGGAGAAUCACCUAAGCCCAAGAGCUGGAGGUUGCUGUGAGCUGUGAUGCCACAGCACUCUACCGAGGGCAACAAAAUGAGACUGUCUCUAAAAAAAAUUUUUUUUAAAGAGGAAAGUACAUAUAUGUAUUUUAACAGAGACCUGUAAGCCACUGCACCAUCACACCAUGGCCUUGUAACCUGGAGCACAGAAGCUGGCCAUACACAGGUAGACCGCCACUCCUGCUUCCUUUAUCAUCUAAUCAAUUGUCACUCAAUACUGGCUGAGUCCCUUCUUCAUGCACCUCCCUUUGGCUCAGGCCUAAUUUUUUCUUGGCCCAACCUCCUAACUUAUUGCACUAUAGCUUCUGAGAUAUUACGAAUUCCCUUACAUGAGCAACCAUUCCUCUGAACACCAUUUAUUUACUCUAUUUGCUGGAACUCUGUCCCACUGACUCUGUCUCACAUACUAUCUUGAAGGGAAGGAAAGCCUCGCUCUCAUCCAUGCCACAGUUCCCCACCACCCUUGCCCACCAUUCCCCCUGUGGGGGUCCAUGCCAUCCAGUUACGUCAGCUUUUCACAUCUCCACCAUGCUCACUGACGGAAGCUUGUCUAUAUAGCUCCAAGUGAAAUCCCCUUCCCCCCAUGACCCUGGCAGUUCUCCCAACACCUGCCCCAACGACUUCGUCACAUUUUGGUCUCAACUUUCUCAAAAUUGCUUCAUCCCUAAUUCUCAAACCCUGAAAUUCUUCUGAUGACCAUCCCUCACCUGCCCCUGUCCCCGUGCCUGUCCUCUGGUUUGCCUUCACAUGUCUUCUGAGUCCUGGCGACCCCAGGCGGUUAGCCCAUGCUCAGGUUUUCUGUCCAGGUCUACCAUCUGGACUUUACAGUUAACUGUUCUGACACCUUCACAAGCACCCUCAAGUCUUGUCCCCUUUAAUUCUUUUUUACUCUUGCCUGAGGCCAGGGUUUGGUUUGCUGGAGAAAAAUGCCAAAAUGCCAUUUGCUCAUUUGUUCAACUACUCAGCUAUAUUAGGCACUAUACUAGGUUGAGGGGGGUAUAAAAACACACCCUUCUUGCAGUGAACAGAAACGCAAAAUGCAAAAAUACAACGCAGGGUAAUGUAGGUGCAGCAGCAGAGACCCCACGUGGUGGUUGUACAGGGGGGUGGCAGAGACUGCUCCUUUGAGUUUUAGCAGGGCACCGGGUCUAUUAAAGCCUGUAUGUCCCAGCCCCCCUGUAGCUAGCAAGCAAAUGCAACAAAAGCGCUAUGGGCAAUGUUUUUU